GAGAAUCCCGGAGGCCUGGAGGGGAGCAGCGGAAGCGGAGGUCGUGGGAUGCUGAGGGCGGCCAUUGCGAUGUGAUUCGCGAGCU
rnacentral:SRP_RNA from 14 species